UACAGAGGGGGCAAGCGUUGUCCGGAAUCAUUGGGCGUAAAGAGCGUGUAGGCGGCCAGAAAAGUCCGCUGUGAAAACUCGAGGCUCAACUUCGAGCUGUCGGUGGAAACUUUCUGGCUAGAGUCCGGAAGAGGAGAAUGGAAUUCCUGGUGUAGCGGUGAAAUGCGCAGAUAUCAGGAAGAACACCCGUGGCGAAGGCGGUUCUCUGGGACGGUACUGACGCUGAGACGCGAAAGCGUGGGGAGCGAACAGG
rnacentral:rRNA from 1 species